UAUUGCACAAUGGGCGCAAGCCUGAUGCAGCAACGCCGCGUGAGGGAUGACGGCCUUCGGGUUGUAAACCUCUUUUAGCAGGGAAGAAGCGAAAGUGACGGUACCUGCAGAAAAAGCACCGGCUAACUACGUGCCAGCAGCCGCGGUAAUACGUAGGGUGCGAGCGUUGUCCGGAAUUAUUGGGCGUAAAGAGCUCGUAGGCGGUUUGUCACGUCUGCUGUGAAGACCCGAGGCUCAACCUCGGGCCUGCAGUGGGUACGGGCAGACUAGAGUGCGGUAGGGGAGAAUGGAAUUCCUUGUGUAGCGGUGGAAUGCGCAGAUAUCAGGAGGAACACCGAUGGCGAAGGCAGUUCUCUGGGCCGUAACUGACGCUGAGGAGCGAAAGCGUGGGGAGCGAACAGG
rnacentral:rRNA from 1 species